AUUUGGAAUGAUAGCAUGUUGCAUGCACUAGUUCCCCACGGAUCACUGAAGUUAGGUAACGUUGCGCGUGGUUAGUACCUGGAUGGUGAACGAAUUUUAUACCUACCUACCUUAAAUU
rnacentral:rRNA from 1 species